AAGUUUUAGUUUAAAAAUAACCAAAGCUUUUUCACCCCCUGGAAGUUGUUGACAGCAGUUUUAUCCCAUCCUAUCUGCAAGCUCUAAUUUCUGGAGAGAGAAACCCAACUGAGCCAAAACUUGGAUUGGUUUCCACGCAUAGGCCUCAGCGUUUAAAGUGCCAGCCACCCUCGUCUGCACCUUCUAUAGAGCCCCUAGGUGGCCCUAAGCAUGCACCAAAUAAUCUCCGUGAGCUUGAAAAGGGAUAGCACCUGCCUUUAGAUAAUGACAAUUCAGCAAACCCUGGAUGCCCUUCAGGGUUUCCCUUCCAAUCCCAGAAAUGCCGGUAACAAAUCAGAUGGGCUGGGGCAGGAUCUGGCAUGAUAGGCUGGCUCUAAACUCCCUCCUGAGAGACCAAGAGAGGAAAUGAUGGAAUUGGUUGGCCCUGUUUCCACUCCUCUGUUAAUUCUCAGGGUUCUUAUGCCUUCCCUAAGGGAGCCACCUAAACUGCUCGGGGGUGAAAAAUCCUCUUGUAUGAAGUGCCAAGCUGCCUGCAGCAGUGCAUGAUGGACAUUUUUUUUCUUUUUAAAACACACCAACAAAAAAAUGUAUUUGUAGAUUGUGAUAAAGUGUAAAUAACUGAAUUUUCAACCAUGGUUUGAAGUCAGCUUUCAGGGCAUUAUGUCUUGUUUUGAUGAAAAGAGAUCACUCUAUACCCCCCUUUUUAAAGGAAAAUUAUCGCAAGAGAAUCAGGAUGUGUAAAGCUAACAUGCAUCGCAAAAAACCAAAGGUGGUUGAAAACUCCUGAGGCAUUUCCUGGAGUAGAAUGGGUAGUGAAGACCCAUUUCAGUGAUCAGAGGACUCCGGAAACCAGGAGAGCUGCCUGCUGUGUGUCAAGGCUGGCCUGAGGGCAUCUGCCGAGCACAGAGAAACCCAGGCCACAAGAGCAACAGUCUUUUCCCACUCCACCUCUUGAGCUGUCUGAUUUGCCCACAGAACACCAUCCAGGAUUCCCCUAACAGAGUCUCUGGGUCCGGAAUGGAGUCCUCAGGGCUGCAUGGGGCUGUGAUGCUAACAGUUACACCUGCUCAGGACUUGAAAGAGUUGAAGGGGACUGACGGUAUCCCAGGCACAGCCUCCCAGAUCUGAAUAAACUUCCACCUCCCACUGUGUCACUCCCAUUUUGCCUGCUUCCCCUUAGCCUCCAGCAGAACUGGCUGGAACACACACCAGCAUCACCUAUUUCCCACCCUCCCACACUUGUGUUGUGGAUGCCAGCCUGGAGGCCCUUGGGCACCUCCAGAGGGCUCUCGGGACAAGAUCACUUGUCACCUCUAUUACAGGUGGAGGAAAGCCAAGUGAGGAGGUUUAUUUACUUUGAGCAAGUUAUUUAACUUCUGAGCCUGUUUUUCUCUUCACAGUUGAUUACUUACUUUGCUCAAAGGCUACUCUUGCAGGGUAGGGCUUUUCCUCUUCACCUCUGUACUAUAUCCCUUCCCCAACAAAUAAAAGAUUUGGUCACAUGAAGAAUGGUCCCA
rnacentral:lncRNA from 1 species